rnacentral:rRNA from 1 species
AUUGAACGCUGGCGGCAGGCCUAACACAUGCAAGUCGAGCGGAUGAAGGGAGCUUGCUCCUGGAUUCAGCGGCGGACGGGUGAGUAAUGCCUAGGAAUCUGCCUGGUAGUGUGGGAUAACGUCCGGAAACGGGCGCUAAUACCGCAUACGUCCUGAGGGAGAAAGUGGGGGAUCUUCGGACCUCACGCUAUCAGAUGAGCCUAGGUCGGAUUAGCUAGUUGGUGGGGUAAAGGCCUACCAAGGCGACGAUCCGUAACUGGUCUGAGAGGAUGAUCAGUCACACUGGAACUGAGACACGGUCCAGACUCCUACGGGAGGCAGCAGUGGGGAAUAUUGGACAAUGGGCGCAAGCCUGAUCCAGCCAUGCCGCGUGUGUGAAGAAGGUCUUCGGAUUGUAAAGCACUUUAAGUUGGGAGGAAGGGCAGUAAGUUAAUACCUUGCUGUUUUGACGUUACCAACAGAAUAAGCACCGGCUAACUUCGUG